CCUACGGGAGGCAGCAGUGAGGAAUAUUGGUCAAUGGACGCAAGUCUGAACCAGCCAUGCCGCGUGCAGGAAGACGGCUCUAUGAGUUGUAAACUGCUUUUGUACGAGGGUAAACGCAGAUACGCGUAUCUGUCUGCAAGUAUCGUAUGAAUAAGGAUCGGCUAACUCCGUGCCAGCAGCCGCGGUAAUACGGAGGAUUCAAGCGUUAUCCGGAUUUAUUGGGUUUAAAGGGUGCGUAGGCGGUCGGAUAAGUUAGAGGUGAAAUCCCGAGGCUCAACUUUGGAAUUGCCUGUGAUACUGGUCGGCUAGAGAGUAGUUGCGGUAGGCGGAAUGCAUGGUGUAGCGGUGAAAUGCUUAGAUAUCAUACAGAACCCCGAUUGCGAAGGCAGCUUACCAAGCUACGUCUGACGUUGAGGCACGAAAGUGUGGGGAGCAAACAGGAUUAGAUACCCGAGUAGUC
rnacentral:rRNA from 1 species